rnacentral:lncRNA from 1 species
AUCAAAAAAUACAAUUCAAAAAACAAUAUUCAAAAGAAUAGUUAUAUAUAUUUUUGCUAAAAUUGUACUUACCUGGCCAAGGAGAUCGACCAUCUUUUUAUGGAUCGAUCGAUUGUUGAGCAUGUAGUCGAUCUGAAAAUACUCUGCAGUUUAAUUAAAUAUCUAAAACAUUUAUUCUAACACUCAACAGAUAGUUUUGCUAAAUAUGAUAACUA